rnacentral:tRNA from 3 species
GCGGUCGUGGCGGAAUUGGUAGACGCGCAGCCUUGAGGUGGCUGUGGCCGAAAGGCCGUGAAAGUUCGAGUCUUUUCGACCGCACCA